rnacentral:rRNA from 1 species
GAUGAACGCUGGCGGCGUGCUUAACACAUGCAAGUCGAACGGAAAGGCCCUGCUUUUGCUGGGCGCUCGAGUGGCGAACGGGUGAGUAACACGCGAGUAACCUGCCCUUGUCUUUGGGAUAACUUCAGGAAACUGCGGCUAAUACCGGAUAGGAGCUCCUGCUGCAUGGUGGGGGUUGGAAAGUUUCGGCGGUUCGGGAUGGACUCGCGGCUUAUCCGCUUGUUGGUGGGGUAGUGGCUUACCAAGGCUUCGACGGGUAGCCGGCCUGAGAGGGUGACCGGCCACAUUGGGACUGAGGUACGGCCCAGACUCCUACGGGAGGCAGCAGGGGGGAGUAUUGCACAGUGGGCGGAAGCCUGAUGCAGCGGCGCCGCGUGCGGGAUGACGGCCUUCGAGUUGAGAACCGCUUUCGCCUGUGACGAGGCGUGAUUGACGGUAAUGGGUAAAGAAGCACCGGCUAACUACGUG